AGUCUUCUGAAUCUGUGCCGAGAUUUAGUCAGACACAAGACCAUCAGGAUUGAUGAGACUCCCAAGAUAAGUGAAACG
rfam:Schistosoma haematobium scaffold892_8, whole genome shotgun sequence.